rnacentral:rRNA from 1 species
GAACGCUGGCGGCGUGCCUAACACAUGCAAGUCGAGCGGGGACAUGCGACGGAGUCGAAGUUUCGGAUGGAGACAAAGAUGUAUUGUCUAGCGCGGACGGGUGAGUAACGCGUGAGCAACCUGUCCCUUACAGGGGGAUAACACAGCGAAAGUUGUACUAAUACCGCAUAAGACCACAGAGUGACAUCGCUCAGGGGUCAAAGGAGCAAUCCGGUAAGGGGUGGGCUCGCGUCCGAUUAGAUAGUUGGUGAGGUAACGGCCCACCAAGUCGACGAUCGGUAGCCGACCUGAGAGGGUGAUCGGCCACAUUGGGACUGAGACACGGCCCAAACUCCUACGGGAGGCAGCAGUGGGGAAUAUUGGGCAAUGGGGGAAACCCUGACCCAGCAACGCCGCGUGAGGGAAGAAGGUUUUCGGAUCGUAAACCUCUGUCCUUGGUGAAGAGGAAGAGACGGUAGCCAAGGAGGAAGCCCCGGCUAACUACGUGCCAGCCGCCGC